rfam:Agrilus planipennis Contig68772, whole genome shotgun sequence.
UCUCUCGUAGCUUAGUUGGUCAGAGCAUUGGUGCGUAAAGCCAAAUGUCCCGGGUUCGAUUCCUGGCGGGGGGU